rnacentral:lncRNA from 1 species
UGACUGGGUCAUGGCGGAAAGAAUCCACGCGGUGGAGAAAGAAAGUGGAGAGUGGGUCACAGUGGAGCAACGAAACAGCGACUACCUACGGCGGUGCAGUAGCAGUCUUGAUGAUGGACAGCACGACGAACAACGCGCUAUACUACCCAGUGGUCAUUCACAAAAACCAAUGGGUAAUAGUAUUAUCCAGCAGACAACAACGGAUUGGCAGAAAAGUGAAGCAGAGGAGACUAUAGGGGUAAACAUUGUAGAACGGGUGGCAAGAGGGGAGUGAGACCAACCAGGAUGAUGAGAGUGGUGAAGAGGGUAGCUUCGUGGGAUCUCCGACAGCGGAGAGAACCCAAGUGGUGGAGAAAGAAGUUGGUGAGUGGGUCAUGGUGGAAAGAACCCAGGUGGCGGAGAAAGAAAGUGGAGAGUGGGUCACGGCGGAGCAGCCAAACAGCGAAGACCCACAGCGGUGCAGUAGCGGUCUCGAUGAUGGACAUAACGACGAACAGCGCGCUACACUACCCAGUGGUCAUUCACACAGACCUAUGGGAAACUCGGUCUAGUCGGAUACACUCAAUUUCCCAGUUGUACUCUCUCACUUUCC